rnacentral:rRNA from 1 species
AAACCUGACGGAGCAACGCCGCGUGUGGGAUGAAGACUCUAGGGUUGUAAACCACUGUCGGAGGGGACGAUCGUGACGGUACCCUCCAAGAAAGCCCCGGCUAACUACGUGCCAGCAGCCGCGGUAAUACGUAGGGGGCGAGCGUUAUCCGGAUUUACUGGGCGUAAAGCGCGUUAAGGCGGAUGGCCAARUUGGCGGUGAAAUUUCGGGGCUCAACCCCGAAACUGCCGCCAAAACUGGKCGUCUAKAGUAUGGGAGAGGAAGGUGGAAUUCCGGGUGUAGUAGUGAAAUGCGUAGAUAUCCGGAGGAACACCAGCGGCGAAGGCGGCCUUCUGGCCCAUAACUGACGCUGUAGCGCGAAAGCGUGGGGAGCGAAAGGGAUUAKAUACCCCUG